rnacentral:lncRNA from 1 species
GUUGGAACUAGUAACAGCCAUCCCUUCCCUGCCUCUACUCUACGUCAACUAAUGUAAUCUCACCUAAUGGAAUAGAUGAAAGCUCUGACUCAGGAGGCUCUGCUCAUCACAGAAAAAGAAAAACUAUUUGCUUCAUUUUGCAGAUUGGGUUUGUCCCCUUGUCUUCUGCCAACAAGCCAGUUUCAUGCACAUUGCAUCAGUGGGAGGAGAUGAAAAAUAAAAGGAAG